rnacentral:rRNA from 1 species
GAUGAACGCUGGCGGCGUGCCUAAUACAUGCAAGUCGAGCGAACAGACGAGGAGCUUGCUCCUCUGACGUUAGCGGCGGACGGGUGAGUAACACGUGGAUAACCUACCUAUAAGACUGGGAUAACUUCGGGAAACCGGAGCUAAUACCGGAUAAUAUAUUGAACCGCAUGGUUCAAUAGUGAAAGACGGUUUUGCUGUCACUUAUAGAUGGAUCCGCGCCGCAUUAGCUAGUUGGUAAGGUAACGGCUUACCAAGGCAACGAUGCGUAGCCGACCUGAGAGGGUGAUCGGCCACCCUGGAACUGAGACACGGUCCAGACUCCUACGGGAGGCAGCAGUAGGGAAUCUUCCGCCAUGGGCGAAAGCCUGACGGAGCAACGCCGCGUGAGUGAUGAAGGUCUUCGGAUCGUAAAACUCUGUUAUUAGGGAAGAACAAAUGUGUAAGUAACUAUGCACGUCUUGACGGUACCUAAUCAGAAAGCCACGGCUAACUACGUG